GAUGAAGAACGUAGCGAAAUGCGAUAAGUAAUGUGAAUUGCAGAAUUCAGUGAAUCAUCGAAUCUUUGAACGCACUUUGCACCCUUUGGCAUUCCGAAGGGUAUGCUCGUUUGAGUGUCAUUGUACUCUCACACUCUCCGAUCCUAUGGAUUCGGGGAGCGGUGGACUUGGGUGUUGCUGCCUUUCCCUGUGGCUCACCUCAAAUGCGUCAGUGCACCUCUUGGUUGGACAUAGUACGGCGUGAUAAGUGUCUUCGCCGGCACCUCGCAAGAGGGUGGCCGAUCGGGAGCUCUGCGCUUUCAAACCGUCUUCGGACAAUUUCUGACAUCUUGACCUCAAAUCGAGUAGGACUACCCGCUGAACUUAAGCAUAUCAAUAAGCGGAGGA
rnacentral:misc_RNA from 1 species